GAUGAAGAACGCAGCGAAAUGCGAUAAGUAGUGUGAAUUGCAGAAUUCAGUGAAUCAUCGAAUCUUUGAACGCACAUUGCGCCCCUUGGUAUUCCAUGGGGCAUGCCUGUUCGAGCGUCAUUUGUACCUUCAAGCUCUGCUUGGUGUUGGGUGUUUGUCUCGCCUCUGCGUGUAGACUCGCCUCAAAACAAUUGGCAGCCGGCGUAUUGAUUUCGGAGCGCAGUACAUCUCGCGCUUUGCACUCAUAACGACGACGUCCAAAAGUACAUUUUUACACUCUUGACCUCGGAUCAGGUAGGGAUACCCGCUGAACUUAAGCAUAUCAAUAAGGGGAGGA
rnacentral:misc_RNA from 1 species